GGAAAAUCGACUUUGAUAAGCUCAUUAACAGACACUGCUCUCUACUGCAAUGAACGUUUGUUUGCCACAUUAGAUCCUAGACUAAAGAGUGUCGCUCUUCCUUCCGGAAGGAAAGCGCUUCUUAGUGACACUGUGGGAUUCAUAUCAGAUCUACCUGUGCAGCUGGUGAAAGCAUUUCAAUCUACCCUGGAGGAAGUUGUAGAAGCUGAUCUCCUUCUGGUAUGAGCUCAAUUGAAGAUCUUAUCUUGGGUUAUACAC